CCUACGGGAGGCAGCAGUGGGGAAUAUUGCGCAAUGGGCGAAAGCCUGACGCAGCGACGCCGCGUGAGGGAUGAAGGUCUUCGGAUCGUAAACCUCUGUCAGCAGGGAAGAACGGUCACUGUGCUAAUCAGCAGUGAAUUGACGGUACCUGCAAAGGAAGCACCGGCUAACUCCGUGCCAGCAGCCGCGGUAAUACGGAGGGUGCGAGCGUUAAUCGGAAUUACUGGGCGUAAAGCGCUCGUAGGCGGUAUGUCAAGUCAAGGGUGAAAUCCCCGCGCUCAACGUGGGAACUACCUUUGAAACUGGCAAACUGGAGUGUGUGAGAGGAUAGUGGAAUUCCAGGUGUAGGAGUGAAAGCCGUAGAUAUCUGGAGGAACAUCAGUGGCGAAGGCGACUAUCUGGCACAUAACUGACGCUGAGGAGCGAAAGCGUGGGUAGCAAACAGGAUUAGAUACCCUAGUAGUC
rnacentral:rRNA from 1 species